GACGAACGCUGGCGGCGUGCUUAACACAUGCAAGUCGAACGGUAAGGCCCUUCGGGGUUCACGAGUGGCGAACGGGUGAGUAACACGUGGGUGAUCUGCCCUGCACUCCGGGAUAAGCCUGGGAAACUGGGUCUAAUACCGGAUAGGACCACUGCCUGCAUGGGUGGUGGUGGAAAGCUCUUGCGGUGUGGGAUGGGCCCGCGGCCUAUCAGCUUGUUGGUGGGGUGAGGGCCUACCAAGGCGACGACGGGUAGCCGGCCUGAGAGGGUGACCGGCCACACUGGGACUGAGCUCCGGCCGAGACUCCUACGGGAGGCAGCAGCGGGGAAUAUGGCACAAUGGGCGCAAGCCUGAUGCAGCGACGCCGCGUGCGGGAUGACGGCCUUCGGGUUGUAAACCUCUUUCAGCACCGACGAAGCGCAAGUGACGGUAGGUGCAGAAGAAGGACCGGCCAACUACGUGCCAGCCGCCGCCGUAA
rnacentral:rRNA from 1 species